AAACAGAUGUGCAAUUAAACAACCAUACAUGUUUGACAAGCAGAAUGGAGCCUCCUGCACAACCAACAAAAAUGCAGCAAGUUGUUUCUGGAUAGUAAGUCAACGACAAAACUCUCUUAAAACCAGCUUACCAAACUUACUGGAGCUCAGCUUGGGUUGCUAGGUGACGGGCGGAGUUCUGUUUGGGUUGCUAGGUAACAGCACAGUGCCAGUCAAUUGUGACUCGAUAAUCUGGAGGUUUCUGAAAUGGCUCGUUUUCCAGA